rnacentral:rRNA from 1 species
AGAGUUUGAUUAUGGCUCAGGAUGAACGCUGGCGGCGUGCUUAACACAUGCAAGUCGAACGGAGUUUUUAACGGAAGUUUCGGAUGGAAGUUAGAACUUAGUGGCGGACGGGUGAGUAACGCGUGGGUAACCUGCCUCAUACAGGGGGAUAACAGUUAGAAAUGACUGCUAACACCGCAUAAUAUAGCGAAACCGCAUGAUUUUGCUAUCAAAUAUUUAUAGGUAUGAGAUGGGCCCGCGUCUGAUUAGCUAGUUGGUGGGGUAAAAGCCUACCAAGGCGACGAUCAGUAGCCGGCUUGAGAGAGUGACCGGCCACAUUGGGACUGAGACACGGCCCAAACUCCUACGGGAGGCAGCAGUGGGGAAUAUUGGACAAUGGGGGAAACCCUGAUCCAGCGAACCGCCGCGUGAGUGAAGAAGUAUUUCGGUAUGUAAAGCUCUAUCAGCAGGGAAGAUAAUGACAGUACCUGACUAAGAAGCCCCGGCUAACUACGUGCCAGCAGCCGC